GGUUGACCUCAGAUCAGGUAGGAAUAC
rnacentral:rRNA from 1 species